rnacentral:rRNA from 1 species
UACGUAGGGGGCAAGCGUUGUCCGGAAUUAUUGGGCGUAAAGAGCGUGUAGGCGGCCAGAUAAGUCCGCUGUGAAAUCUCGAGGCUCAACUUCGAGCUGUCGGUGGAAACUAUCUGGCUAGAGUCCGGAAGAGGAGAAUGGAAUUCCUGGUGUAGCGGUGAAAUGCGCAGAUAUCAGGAAGAACACCCGUGGCGAAGGCGGUUCUCUGGGACGGUACUGACGCUGGAGAACGCGGAAAGCGUGGGAGCGAACAGG